UAGAGUUUGAUCCUGGCUCAGGAUGAACGCUAGCGGCAGGCUUAACACAUGCAAGUCGAGGGGCAUCGGGAGGGAAGCUUGCUUUCCUUGCCGGCGACCGGCGCACGGGUGAGUAACACGUAUGCAACCUGCCCUCUUCAGGGGGACAACCUUCCGAAAGGGAGGCUAAUCCCGCGUAUAUCGGUUUCGGGCAUCCGAGAUCGAGGAAAGAUUCAUCGGAAGAGGAUGGGCAUGCGGCGCAUUAGCUUGACGGCGGGGUAACGGCCCACCGUGGCGACGAUGCGUAGGGGUUCUGAGAGGAAGGUCCCCCACACUGGUACUGAGACACGGACCAGACUCCUACGGGAGGCAGCAGUGAGGAAUAUUGGUCAAUGGGAGAGAUCCUGAACCAGCCAAGCCGCGUGAGGGAAGACGGCCCUAUGGGUUGUAAACCUCUUUUGUCGGAGAACAAAACCCGGGACGUGUCCCGGACUGCGUGUAUCCGAAGAAAAAGCAUCGGCUAACUCCGUGCCAGCAGCCGCGGUAAUACGGAGGAUGCGAGCGUUAUCCGGAUUUAUUGGGUUUAAAGGGUGCGUAGGCGGUCCGUUAAGUCAGCGGUAAAAUUGCGGGGCUCAACCCCGUCGAGCCGUUGAAACUGGCAGACUUGAGUUGGCGAGAAGUACGCGGAAUGCGCGGUGUAGCGGUGAAAUGCAUAGAUAUCGCGCAGAACUCCGAUUGCGAAGGCAGCGUACCGGCGCCACACUGACGCUGAGGCACGAAAGCGUGGGGAUCGAACAGGAUUAGAUACCCUGG
rnacentral:rRNA from 1 species